AAUAUUGCACAAUGGAGGGAACCCUCAUGCAGCAACGCGGCGUGUGUGAAGAAGGAUUUCGGAUCGUAAAACUCUGUCAUUGGGGACGAAUAAAUGACGAUACCCAAUGAGGUAGCCCCGGCUAACUACGUGCCAGCAGCCGCGGUACUACGUAGGGGGCGAGCGUUGUCCGGAAUUACUGGGCGUAAAGGGUACGUCGGCGGCUAUAUAAUACAGCUGUGAAAUACCAGUUCUUAACACUGAAAUUGGAUUUGAAACUGUGUAGAUUGAAUGCAGGAGAGGGAAGUGGAAUUCCUAGUGUAGCGGUGAAAUGCGUAGAGAUUAGGAGGAACACCAGUGGCGAAGGCGACUUUCUGGACUGUAACUGACGCUGAGGUACGAAAGCGUGGGUAGCGAACA
rnacentral:rRNA from 1 species